rnacentral:rRNA from 1 species
UACGUAGGGGGCAAGCGUUGUCCGGAUUUACUGGGCGUAAAGAGCGUGUAGGCGGCCAAACAGGUCCGUUGUGAAAACUGGAGGCUCAACUUCCAGACGUCGACGGAAACCGUGUGGCUAGAGUCCGGAAGAGGAGAGUGGAAUUCCUGGUGUAGCGGUGAAAUGCGCAGAUAUCAGGAAGAACACCAAUGGCGAAGGCAGCUCUCUGGGACGGUACUGACGCUGAGACGCGAAAAGCGUGGGGAGCGAACAGG